ensembl:lincRNA
GGCAGAGUGGGGUUCCAAAAACCCAGGCUCUUAAUGUAUAUCUGUCUCUAUAAAUCAUACAGUUAAUAUAAUUAUCAGGAUGUAGAGGCCUAGGUAAGAAAAGAUAUUUUGCAUUAAUGGUGCUUUUUUUUUUAAAAAAAAAAAAAAACAGGCAACAUUCAGCUUGGUACAUGCUUUCUACAAGAUUCCGGCACAGGCUUCCAGAAUUCAAUUGGGAUAAAGUUAAAAGUUUCAGUUCAAAAAAACCUGAAGUUUUCUCUGAAGCUGUGUUUCAGAAAUCAGGUCAGGACUUCCUUCCUUGCCUACAAUUCAUCUCAGACCUCAGGAGAUAAACAGCAGCUUGAGCAGUAACACAGCAACCCCAAGGAUGACGAUCAGCGUAAUAAAUAAUACUUACAACGUUUGAACCCUUGUGCCACUAGGAAAAAAAGAAAAGAAAAUACUCAUUGUCUCUAAUGGUAGAAAUAUCAUAUCUGUGCACAUAUUCACCUCAGCCCCAAUAUAAUUCUUUUAAGGCUGCCAAGCUCUGAGACCCAGAAAUGGUGAGUCACUCAGGAGGGUUGAGAGGGUGGGGGUGGGGGGGAACAAAGAUAAAAAUAGAGAUGUUGAUUGCAUUGUUACUAAUUCAGUUUAGCUCCAACAGCCCCAGCCUGGUGAGUCAACAGCAGCGACAAGAAGACAUAAGAAAGAAAGCACGCUGCUCUGUGGGGCUGAGCAGAGGGGAAGCAGAGGGCCACACUGGGAACUUCACGCCAAAACAAGACCAACAGCAUAGAGGCGGUGGUGUUUGGCUUAGGGGAGCCAGGCGUGAUGUCUGGAGUCAUUUAUGAUUGGCUGGAUUUGCAAGACUAGGCCUCCAUUUGCUUCUACCUCUUCAAGGACGUUUUCUUCCACUUGGGCUGUAUUGCCAACAAGUUAAGUCGUCACAGGUAGUUAUGACUAUUUCUAAACACCCAAGUGUUCUCAGAGCUAGGAUUAAUUAUGAAAGCAGGAUUAAUAUAAAUAUUGAGAUAUAACGAGGUAGCUUUCUUACAAAUUCUCGACUCAGAGUUUUCUCCACUCUAAUCCUUCUGAGGUUUGAAGAGUUUCUUCAACUGGUUCUGAGUGUUUACCUUUGAUACUGUAUGUCAAAAUUAGGGGACACACAGAGUCCUCCUCUGCUGCUGUUUUCUGACAUGCUGAACAAUCUGCUCAUUUUCUUCUGCUCUGACUCCUCUGGUAAGAGUGUAUUUUGAUGACUUGGACUUUCUCAUUUGGGCAAUGGUGCUGUGCUCAGCACUCUAAUACCCUAACUUUCUCCCCCUUUUUCACCUCUAGUAUAAUGAAGCAAUGACCUUCUCUCCAUCCACAGGGCUGUGCCAAGAUAUGAUGCAUGCGCUCAGGACAGCAGUACAGAUCUCUGACACGCCAUUUUUCUCACGGGGAAAAUGUUUGUCAGCCCCUUGGCCAACUUAUUUGGAGAUUCCGGCAAUGAAGGGGCUGUCACGCAAGUGGCACAGAGACCUCUGCUUCUCUUUGAAAGAGACUGCUUUUGAAGGAACACAAAACUGCAGUAAUACCGGCUUGUGUUAGAAUACAACUUCACAUAAAAUGUGUUUCCAGGAAAAGAAGAAAAUUGAAGAGAAACCUGAAGUUGUUUCAAGACUGAUGCUGAGCUAUCCUAUCACUCGUUUCCCUGGAACUUGGGCUGAUGAGAGAAAGUAUCUCUUCCAUUGUCACAAUUUUCUCUAGGUUAUUUCUGAAAGUCUUUACUCUUGUUUCAGGGAUGGGAAACAACAACAACAACCAACCAAACAAACAAAAACCUUGUUUUCUACUUCAUUAAACCAAAUAUCCAAGCUCAAGUUGUUUACGUUCUCAAUCCCCUUAAAAUAUUGACAUCAUAUGUAGUUUUUUAUUCUGAGUAUUUUCACUUAUUAUAUCAUGGAUGUCCCCCAUGUUCUUAAACACUCUUCUAAAAAACUUUAAUAGCUUUGAAAUAUUCUUUCAGUUGAGUGUAUCAUAAUUUGUUUAGCCAGUCCUCUAAUUUUGGUCUUACAGGGUUUUUUUUGUAAUUUUUUUUAACCAUUAAAUAAUGCUGCUAUAAUAAUGCUAAGUAACACCCAUAUAUAUACAUAUAUAUUUUUUCUUUCAUCUCAUUUCAGAUCAUGUUCUUAACAUAAAUUUCCUUAAGUAUAAUUGGUGCGCCAGGGGAUAGAUAGGGUUACCUCCAAGGACUUCCCUCCACAUACUGCUAAAUUGUUCUAGGCCUAUUUCCCAUGUGUGAAAUGUUUGGUGACACUGCUUGAAGGUUUCUAUGAGAAAACCCAUUAUCAAAUUGACUGGAAGCAGCAAUUUCUGUUAUCAAAGUAAAUCUAUUGUUAUCAUUAUCGGAAUGGAUUAUUUUGUUUGCCUGAAUGGAGCUGAUCACUGAGUUUCACUUUAAGUUAAUUAGAUGAACUAUCAAUUGCAAAGGUUGUGAAACACAGGUAUUAGGCAACAAGCUCAUCUAAGCAAGGGAGGCCCUGCUGCAAGGCCUGUCUUUCUACCAUCACCACCCCCUGCAGGACAACAGCAGAGGUUGAGAGCAGGGGAGUCACGAAACAUGGCCUGGCUGGUAGAUCGGCCAUUUCUGAGUUCAAGGCCUGACGCUGUACCCUGGUAGCUGGGUAACUGCGAGCCAGGCUCCUUUUUCUCCUCUACGUAAUUUAGGUAAUAGUGCCUUAAUUCGAAGGAAGUAUGAGGAUUAAGUGGGAAAAGACACUUAUCACAGUCCUAGGUGAAUGGUAAGCAUCCAGGAAGCACUUAUUUUUCAAAAUUAUUAAUUCCCAUUUCACAAUUGUCUAUGGAACUUCAAUAUUUGGAGAGUAGGUGAAAGGGGAAAUAAACCAACUAAUUGGGACCAGAAGUUUCUAAACUUCACACAGCGUUCUUAGCCUUUUGUGUCGGUAAGGUCAUUGAAAGUCAAUAUCAUCAUCAUCGUUAUCAUCACCAUCACCACCAUGGUGUAAACAAGGCAGUAGGGGCUUCAGAGACAAAGGCUCUGGGAGACGAGCACCUCCCACUCUGCCCUUGGUCAUGAUUUCCUUCCUUCCUCCUUUUUUCC